rnacentral:rRNA from 1 species
UACAGAGACCUCGAGCGUUAUCCGGAUUCAUUGGGCGUAAAGCGUCCGCAGGUGGUUGUGAAAGUGAUGGGUUAAAUCCCGAUGCUCAACAUCGGGACUGCUCCUCAAACUCCACAACUUGAGGCUGGAAGAGGCAAGCGGAACAUAUGGUGUAGUCGUAAUAAGCGCUGAUAUCAUAUGGAACACCAAAGGCGAAGGCAGCUUGCUAGUACAUGCCUGACACUCAUGGACGAAAGCGUGGGUAGCGAAUGGG